rnacentral:rRNA from 1 species
AACGAACGCUGGCGGCAGGCCUAACACAUGCAAGUCGAGCGGAUGAGUGGAGCUUGCUCCAUGAUUCAGCGGCGGACGGGUGAGUAAUGCCUAGGAAUCUGCCUGGUUGUGGGGGACAACGUUUCGAAAGGAACGCUAAUAACGCAUACGUCCUACGGGAGCAAGUGGGGGAUCUUCGGACCUCACGCUAUCAGAUGACCCUAGGUCGGAUUAGCUAGUUGGUGAGGUAAAGGCUCACCAAGGCGACGAUCCGUAACUGGUCUGAGAGGAUGAUCAGUCACACUGGAACUGAGACACGGUCCAGACUCCUACGGGAGGCAGCAGUGGGGAAUAUUGGACAAUGGGCGAAAGCCUGAUCCAGCCAUGCCGCGUGUGUGAAGAAGGUCUUCGGAUUGUAAAGCACUUUAAGUUGGGAGGAAGGGCAGUAAGUUAAUACCUUGCUGUUUUGACGUUACCAACAGAAUAAGCACCGGCUAACUUCGUGCCAGCCGCCGCCGUAACAC